CGUAAGUGCUUGAGCUUACCAGGAAACUGCACAUUUGGAAGGUCCCCUAAUUUACAACAUGAGGUGUAAUGUGUCCUUUUCUAGCUGGGAGGAGGCUGCUCUAAGGCCGUGGCCUGGGCUGCCACCUCCCCCCGGGACUCCAGCUGAGGUGAAGCAGAGGAACUCGAGACAAUGCACCUGACUAAACGCUGGGCCUCCGUGGUGCUUCCCUGUGGUGUUCUUGGCUUCACUGGACUUGUUCUAGGAGACAAGCACGAGCUGGUUCUCCGAAGUGAGGAGCGUCUUUGAGAAUCCCGACUGUAGCUGUCUGUCCCUCUCACGGUGCACAGAUGCUAUUUCACUUGUGUCUUUUGCUGUAGGGGAUGGCGAAUCCAUUUCAGAAGUAGUUCUGGAGUCCAGACGUCUGAAGUCAAGGAGUUGGCAGGGCCGGGCUGCAUCGAAUGUCCACGGGGGAGAAAACCUCCCUGUCUCUUCCAGCCUCGGUGGGUGAGCAGCCCUCAGCAGCCCCUGGCCAGUGAUGCAUCUCUCCCUCCUGUGCCUUGUUACAUGGUCCUCUCCUUCUCGUGUCUAAUCCAGCAUAACCUCAUCUUAACUACAUCUGAGAAGAUCCUAUUUCCAAACCAGGUGUUUUCCUGGCUGUCCUGGGCCAGUUACCUUCCUCCCUCCAGCAUCUCGGGGGUCCAGCUUUUCAGUGUUUUAGUUUGAUGGGCUCCUGAAAGCAGGUAAAACCAUGAAAUGGGGUGGCUUUUAACCAUGGGAAUCUAUCCACUUACAGUUAGAGUCUGGGAAAGUGUCAAAUCGAGGCAUCCUCAAGGUGACGCCUUCCUCCUGCAGACCUGCUGCCGGCAACCCUGGGCUCCUCUCCACACGGCCGGGCUCAGGGCGGCGUCUGCCAGUCUCCCCCUGCUCUUCUGGGUUUCGUUGCCUCCAGCUUCUUGCUUCCAUGGCUUUCUCUCUGUUUGUCUGGAUUUCAUUCUCCUAUAAAGGACUCCAGUAAGAGGAUUAAGACCCAUCCUGGGCCACACCUUUACUGAGGUAGCCUCAUGAAAAGGUCCUAUUACAACAGGUUUACACCUCCAGGAGGGGAUUAGCUUUAAGAACAUGAUUUCCUGGGGCACAUACAGUUCCAAACCACCACAGACUCCUUCCGUGGUCCCAUCAUGACAUGGCUUCUCAUUUGGGGUUGACACAGCACGCUCAAGGCAGGGAGUAGCCAGAGAGUGGGGUGUGUCUGGUGUGUUUGGAGACCAGUGUGGGGUCGGGCGUGGUGAGAGCUGUGUGUGUGCAAAUCGAGGGUCAAAGCCCUCCAAAGGGUUUGACUUCAUCCUGCAGGUGAUGGGAAAUCACUGAAAGUUUCCGGCAGGAUUCUGUUUGUCUUUUAGAUGACUUGCUUGUAGGAAUGGAUCAGAAAGAAUAAGACUAAAGGCAGGGAGAUCAACUAGGAGGCUGGUUAAAAAUCCAGGAGGAAGAGAAUGAUGACAACGAUGAGAGAGAAGGCUUUCUGGAUCCUAUUAGUAAUUCAAGUUUUUAUCUAAAAAGUUCAAAGCAAUGGUGUCCCAAAGCUCAAAAGCAUGCAAAAUU